rnacentral:rRNA from 1 species
AUAUUUGAUAAUGGGGGCAACCCUGAUAUAGCCAUGCCGCGUGUGUGAAGAAGGUCUUCGGCUUGUAAAGUACUUUAUCGUUGGAAGAAGGGCUUUAGGUUAAUACCCUGAAUUUUUGACGUUACCAACAGAAUAAGAACCGGCGAACUCUGUGCCAGGAGCCGCGGUAAUACAGAGGGUGCAAGCGUUAAUCGGAAUUACUGGGCGUAAAGCGCUCGUAGGUGGUUCAGUAAGAUGGGUGUGAAAUCCCCGGGCUUAACCUGGGAACUGCUUUCAUAACUGCUGAGCUAGAGUACGGUAGAGGGUAGUGGAAUUUCCUGUGUAGCGGUGAAAUGCGUAGAUAUAGGAAGGAACACCAGUGGCGAAGGCGACUACCUGGACUGAUACUGACACUGAGGUGCGAAAGCGUGGGGAGCAAAC